UCAAGAAAGAUAAAACAACAACGACUGUUGUUCUUCGCACCACACCUCAUGCAGCUCUCCUCUCGUUUUCCCUCUUGAAAACUAGACCUGUGCAAGCCAAUAACACCUUCCUUCCCUACGCCUAAUUGGAUCUUAAAAUGGUGAAUUCGAUCGAAUCCCUAUGAAAAUCGCAGCACAACCUAUAUCGUUCUUCUUUGGAGGUUCGGUUCAAAUUUUGAAAUAAUUCUUCUUACUCUUGCGUUUUCUUGCAUUUCUUCCGAUUGUUGACUAGAAAUUCGACUUUGUACAGCAACAUAUAACCCCUCCUCUAUAUUUCAUUCGAAUACUGGUUGUAUCAUAAUUCUAAAUGCUCUAAGUUUAGCAACUUUUUUUCUUGGUUAAACAGUACCGAAAAUUCAAUGAAUAAGGUAUCAUUUUUUUUAUUUUUUUGGAAAUUCUACGUGGUAAACCUGAGGUUUUAGAUUUUUCAUGUGGUAACCAAAACUUUUCAAAAAUUCACACGGUAAUAAUGCUUUCUCCGUGACCUUUUACCUGAAAAAUGUUAGCAAGCGUUAUCUUAGUGUUCCAGUCUCGAUGAAUUUUCAUUUCCCCAACUAAACUCUCUCUAUGCUUACAAUUCCCCCAAUUUCCUUAAAGCCCUAACCCUAAAUCCCUAAAAUUGACUUUGAAUUCCAUGAAACCUAUCUACAAGGAUCACAAAAUCAAGCUCUAGAACAAGAAAGAUUACAGCACACAAUGACGAAAUUAUUUUAGCUGUCAGCACACAUCAGUUUGAAGUAAAGCUCAAGGUCUUGAAGACUGGUACAGAAUGACCAGGUCAACACAAAUUUAACGGAUAGGAGCCUUCUUGUUUUUCAAAGAUGUGUUGAGGCGUAACACUAUAAAUACAAGGCUUCAUUCCAGCAUUAAGGAUGCACCUCUUCUAAUAUCUUUCUCUCUUGUAAUAAGAUCUAAAUUUUCUAAAUGUUCAAAGAGUUGUAAUUCUUAGUUCAUCUAGCUCUUACAUUUUGUAAUAGGCUUAAGAGUUUAAAAAAGAGUUAGAUUAUUUUAAUACGCCUAACUUAGAAUACUUUUAAAAGUGUUCAACUUGUAAUCUCUAUUGAGAGAUUGAGAUUUGCUUUUAUUAAAGGGACUUGUAAUACGGUUCUUCAAGGGGAAGAACGUGCUUGUGAGGAGAUAGUGAGAUCUUCUUGUUUGUAUUAAAGUCGGAUUAAUAAAAAGCGUUGAAAUCCUACGGGUUGAAAGAGAACCCAUAGGCGGGGAGUAGAUUGUUUAGAACCGAACCUCGUUAACA